AGCACGGAGCACGAGCGUCUGGCGUCUGCGGCCGCUCCCAGGGCUUCUGACCCUCGGGGACCGGUGCAGACCCAGAGCCUAGCUCUAUGGAGCCUUGAGCAGAGACCAGCACAGUUGAGAAAGCAGCAACACUGCUUCCUUUGUCAACCGCGUCCAUUCCGAGACAAAGAAUGCCUGGACUGUGAGAGAAUCCUACACAGAGAUGACGAUGGGAGAAGAGGGACCUUUUUUCUUGUUUCCAACACCCACAUCAAUAGGCCUCUUUUCCCAUUUUAAAGUGCCCGACAUAAAGAACGUUCCACUUUGGUCAGGUGGGCUGCAGAGAAUUAGAAUAUUCAUCUGCAAAACUCGGUUUGGACACCUUAUCGGCUUUUCAUUCCUCCAGAUACAGCCUGCCCCCUGGUGCCUGAGAUUUCCUCCUCAAACCACAUUAGAUAAACAAGAUUAUCUUUUCUCUAGAAUUUGAGUCAACAAAGAGAAUGUUCAGCAUUUUAAAGAAAGGUCUCAUUUUUUAAAAUUCAAC